rnacentral:rRNA from 1 species
GUCUUUUUGUUAUUAUUAAAAAGUCUGACCUGCCCUAUGAUUUUAAAUGGCCGCGGUAUUUUGACCGUGCGAAGGUAGCAUAAUAAAUAGUCUAUUUAAUGUAGUCUGGAAUGAACGGUUUGACGGGGAGUGGCUUUCUUAUUAUUAUUGGUGAAUUUGAAUUAUUAGUGAAAAUGCUAAUAUAUGGUGGAUGGACGAGAAGACCCUAUAGAGCUUUAUAUAGGUAUUUUAUUUUGUGGUUAUUUUAAAUAAUAUUUUGUUGGGGCGACAAUAAUUAUAAACAAUUAUUUUUAUUCUUUAAUUAUAGGUAAGAUGAUCCAUUAAUAAUGAUUAUAGACUAAGUUACCUUAGGGAUAACAGCGUAAUUAAAUUUUAGAGUUCUUAUCGAUAAUUUAGAUUGCGACCUCGAUGUUGGAUUAUAAUUCCCUUAGGGUGCAGGAGCUUUAUGGGGCAGUCUGUUCGACUGUUAAAAUUGUACAUGAUCU